AGCCCCCCUGCGAGACGGGGAGGAGGCCCGUCAGGACCGGUGCCUCGUGGGGCGCCACCACCGCCAGCUUCCGGGCCUGUUCACCGCCUUCGCUCGCUGGGGCACAGCACGGGUGGUGUUCCGAGUGAGCAAAGUCCCUGCCUUCUGGGGAUUCCCUGUCUCCCUUGACGGGACAGACAGACAAGCAAGCCCGCCGGUGACCACGUCUCAGGUGGCCACGAGUGUCAGGAAGAAAAAGACCACGGGGUGAGGACACGGGGGUGUCAGCGCGCCCAUUUUAUGGAUAUGGAAACUGAGUCCCGGGGAAGGUAAGGGGCAAGGUCUGAGUGGACACGACCUCCCAACCUCGGCUGAGGAGGGGUCCCCUUGCCAGCGGGAGCCUGGGGACAGAGGACAGCGGGGAAGAACUCCCCUCGCACCGUGGAACCCGCACCGUCUACCGGCCGUUUCCAGAACUCGGCUCUGAGGCGGGGGAUGGCGGCCUCCCAGGGCCACCCUGCGGCUUUGUCGUGUGGGAGGGGGCAGAGUGGGUUCUUCCGGCCGCCUCGGGCUUCAGGCCCCUGGCCCGGUCCCUGUUCUUGCAGCCCAGACCCCGGAGGAGCAGGAAGUAGGCGGCCGCGGGGAGCGGGACUGGAGGAGAGGCUCCGUGUGGCAGCGGUUCCACAAGAGAACGGCCAGCCCAGACCCCCGCAGGCCGCCCUGGCCACCUGUGCCGUGUCCUGGGCUCCGGGCCCCUUGUGCAUGUUGAUGCGGGCCUGGCUGGGGGUGCGGCGUGUGGCGGGCGGGGGCGUUUGGGGAAAGAGGGGCACUGCUCCUUGGCAGUAGAAACAAAGUCUGCACAGAGCCCAGCCGAAGGCCCGUCUCAGCCCCGUCCCGGUGAGGACGCCGCUCUCAGGGAGGUCAGUGCGUUCACACAGGAAAUUUCCUGUGAGCUGAUCUGCCUGGCUCCUGGGCGGCCCCCACCGGACGGUGUUACCUGUGUUGUUUUCCGGUUCCCCAGGGCCCCGGGGGCCCUGAGUUUAUCGCCUGGCCUGGCCGCAGACAGGGAGGGUCACCUCUCUCGUUCGGUUCCAGAGCCCCCUCGCACGCCGCGCCCCGGGACGGCCAAAGAGAGUCCUGACCCCGGAAGGCUCUGCUCAUGCGAGCCCUCCCUUCACCUUCGCCUCGGGAUGGAAAUCACAUCCCAAAGCCCCUGUCUCUCCGGUGCGGGCCAGACAGUGAGUGCCUGCUGGGAGCCGUCAGCUGCCCUGCUCCUCGGUCCCUCUGGGGUGAUGACAGUGACAGUUGAGAGGAGGGAGUGGGGCAGCUGGGGCCUCGGCUCGAAGAACUUGGCGUCUGAGACAUCAGGGGUGCGCCUGGCCUGAACAUCCUGGGACGGGACGCCAGUUGACCUCGAGGAGGCGGGUGGGGCAGUGACCAAGGCCCUCGCGGAAGUAACACUGGGUGGGGGUGGGCCUGGGGAUCCCCUUCACUGCCCCGCCCUGGCCCGCGGCCCCGGCAGGCCCACCUGCGGAAUGGGGAGAUACUGUGGUCCUGCCAGGGGCCUGGCUCAUCGUGCAAGAGCUCAGAGCUCCGUAGGGAGAGGCGGCCCCUGCGAGCUCGGCGGCCGGACCAGCCCUGCUGCCUGUGGGGCCGAGGGCCCUUGGCUGCUCCCCCAGCACUGUCUCCCCCUGGAACCUCCUCACAGGGUCCUGGGGAGGCUUAGAGGGUCCCUAAGCUCGGACAGGGUGAGCCGUGAGACCCAGCCCGCCGUGUGGAGAAAGCAGUCCCUGUUAGCAACUGUUGCUCUACGUACUGAGCCCCUCCUCGAGACAGAAGCAGCGGCUGUGGGGGUUCGGGCCAGGGCCGUGUGCCUGCCAAGGUCUCCUACUCCCCGAGUUUAUGACCAUGGACCCGGAGAAGCUGUCGCCCCAAAUCCAGAGGGAGGGAGGGAGAGAGGGAGGGAGGAAUCGUGCCUCAAGCGCAUUGCGGGCACACGGCCGGUUAUCAGCUGUGUGACCUCCGGCAAGCGUCUUCCCUCUCUGAGCCCCAGCUCUCACCUGUGAGAACACAGAGCCCCCUCCCUUGAUGACCGGUGGGAAGAACAGCGACGUGCUACCCCUGGGUGCAUCUCGGAAGAACCCCGAGGACGUGACGCUGGGGGCAAGACGCCCGUCAGGAAAGAGUGCGGAUCACACGACUGCAUUUACCUGAAGGCCCCGGGGUGGGCAAACCCACAGAGGCGGAAGGCAGGACGGGGGCUGGCGGGGCUGGCGGCUAAGGGGGCAGGGUUCUUUUUGCAAAGAGGACACGUUCUGACCUCGACGGCGCGGGUGGUUGCACGCAGCUGUGCCGAGCCCAAAAAGUCACAGGACGGCACACUCUACAGGGGCGAAUUGUCUGGCAUGUGAAAUACGUCUCGAUAAAGCCGCGAGUGGGGUGCCCUGGGGGGGGGGGCUGUAGCCCCAGGUCUGUUCCUCCGGGAGCCUCGAGGUUCUCGGGAUGCUAACGGCGGUGGGGGGGGGGACCACGGUGACCAACAAGACAAUUAGCAAAGCCGUGUUGGCCGGCGGUCAGUUUGCCAGGACAGCCCUGGUCGAUGCCUGCCGAGCACGCGUGACUGUUAACAGCACCGGCUUCCGAACUCUACGGAGUGCGCUGGCCGGGUGACGGUGUCCGGGACCUGCGUACGGCCACCCACCACACAGCCAGCCCUGAAGACGGUGUCUCCUCCCGGGCCACCCACAGUGCAGCCCAAAUGCAUCCAUCCACACCCUUGCCCGGCAGAGCCAACCCCACACCUGCACGGACUUGUCUUUGCCAAAAGGCCCCAAGCGGAAUGGCGUGAAAAUUAGUGUUUCUGCGGCCUGUUUAUUUUUGCCCUCAACAGUCUGCAGGCUCGUCACCUAAGGUCCGGGGGUGUUCUCAGUCCUCGGGGGCCUUCCCCAGCCUCCCUCUGCCCGGGCACUCGGUCACCGUCCCCCGCCCCCACCUCCCCCCCUUCCCUACUCGACGAGGCCCCCCUGACCCCGGCCCCUGGGCCCUCCCUGUUCUGGGUUUUAGUGUUUAUUCCAACUCUGCCUGUCUCCCUGGGUGAUGGAGCUCCGCACAGACAGGGAUCAGCCGCACGCCCGUCUCCCCGGCAUCCGCACACAGGUGCUGAUGCGUCUACUGCAGAGGCUCUCAAACUCAGGCAGGCGUCAGAGUAACUUGGGGGUGCUUCUUAAACCGGAGAUGGCCACAUGUCACCACCCAAAUUCCGACUCAAGGUCUGGAGUGGAGCCUGAAGUGACGAGCACGUCCCCCUGGGGAGCCGAGCCAAGAGACGCUCAUCAGCACCUGUGCGCUUGGGGGUAACAGGUGCACCGGGCUGCUCCCACGUUUGACCAAACCCCCACAGGAGGAGAGAAAGACACGAAGGCACGUGUCAUGGUCCGCAGUCAUCCAUCAAUUACUGAGGAACCUCAGGGUGGCCUCCGGGCCCCCCACACGUGAGGGUCAAAAUCUGGGUGUUCCCAGGGACUGACUGCCCCUUGGCAUUGGCUUCUGCGCCCCUCAGUACCCAGGUCACAGGCAGGCAGGACUGUUGUGCGGACCGGUUGCUCACGUCACAGCCCACGGGUGAACUGGGGCAAGCCCCGGCCUGAGCCCCGGCUCCCCUUCUGCAUGAUCAGGGGCCCCACCAGCGACCCCCAUGCCUUUGUCUUUCCCUAAAGCUCAGGGCUUGUUGCUGGCUGAUCAGGCAUGUUGCCUGUGCCCCGGGCCCCCCGGGGCUGCCUGCGCCGGGCCCUCUGAGGCCUCGGUCACGUCCUGGUGGACCUCACCGUGGGAUGGCCCCAGCCCCCGCCUCGCGUGGACGUGCUUCUAGAAGUCCUCACACGGCCCGUGCCGUCCUUUGUGCCUUUCUCUCCUCCUGUGGGGGGCACCCCCAGCCCUCCCCGCCUCCCCGUUCCUGACUGGGCACUCACCGGGCGCACGGACACCGUCUUCUUCAACAUGCGGAUCUCCUGGGUGGGCGGAGGGGAGAGUUCAGAGGGCUGCAGACCAGCUCCCAGCCACCUCUCCUCUGCAGCCCUCUGGGGCCGUGCUCCCAGCCCCUCGGGGGGAAGCCAGGACCGGUCAAGUGUGGCCUCCAGCCAGAAAGGGUUUAGCCCCAGAAGGUGGUAUUCCGGGACGGACUUUAGCAUCGUAAAGCCACAUGCCAGAAUUUGCCACCAGAGUCCCUCCCUUGGAUUGAACCCCCAAAGGGGAGGGGCUGGCCGCUGUGAGCUCUCAGGUGUCUGGCCUGGCCCAGGAUGAGGAACCCGACAUGGGCAUGCUCUGGUGGCCGUGGGAGACAGAAGGGGAAACAGGCCCCCAGCCCGGGCACCGAACGGGCCCCGCGGGGCGGGCGGCCCCUACCUGGAAGUGAGGGCUGUAGUGGUCGUCCCUGUUCACAAUCUCCGUCUCUCGGCCGUCCCGGACCAGCACAGUGACCACCUUCCUCCCCGUCAGGUGUGUGUGGAGCUGGGAGGCGAAGAUGUGGAUCCCUGAGGGAGGCAGGGCCUGCAGGGCGGGGCGGAGCAGGGGGGGGCAGGGUCAGAGCCCGGCACGCGGGGGACCCUGCCACCUGCCCUCGUGCUGACCGCCGGCCCGGAUCGCGGGCCGCGGGACAGCGACACCACCGAGCCCGCGUCCCCAGAACGUCUGCCCUGCCCAGCCUCGUCUUUCUCCCUGGACGGUUGAGUCCCCAUCAGGAAACUCCGUAGGGAGGGAGCUGCCCGCAGAGCGGUGUCACGGUCACAGCCCUGGUCUUCCAAAGCAGCUGCCUGCGGGAGCCUGCAGAGGCUCGUCAGGGGGCGCAGCCGGCUUCCUUCGAGUCCCUGAAGGCCGCUGCGUCCACUUUUCAUGCACUCAACAGACUUUAAGGGGAGCACCCAGCGGGCAGGGGGCCACCCGGGUGAGCACAGUGGGACCCCCCCCCCCCGGCUCGGCGGGCUCGGGUCCGGUGCUAGGCGGUCCCGUCCAGCGCCCGCCGGGCACCAGCAUCAGCAGCUGCUCUGUGGCACGACCCACGGGAGACCUUCCCCUGCUUCACGGUCACGCUGUCUUCCGGCUGUGGCACUGACCGCCGUGGCACUGAGCGCGGAGGCCGUCGGCUGGCACUCAGAAGGGGCCUCCAGCCCUCACAUCGAGACGCCUGCCCUCCCCGUUGAGGCGUGAGGGGCCUUCCCAGAGGAAGGACGCUCUCCCUGACGUCACGUGGACUUGGCUUCGACAGAACGUUUCCUCAAACGGUUACACGUGUGAAGCGUUUUCCCCACCCCCCGUCUCCCCGACGGCACCCCACCGUGCUCCGCUCUGCUCCGUCCACACUGUUGGCGGCUCGGGGGCUCCUGCGGCCGUGGCUCUGUCGCCGAGCGACCCCAGGCUGCGGAGAUUUCUGCCCGUCGGCUGAUUUCACCUCGUGCUUUCUCUCUUGCCCUCCACCUGCUGCUGUCCUGCCCUUGGCAUCUUGGAAACUUCCGGCCCCCGCUCAAUGACUUGAGGCUGGGAAGGCUUACGGCCACGCCUGUGACAACUGGGAGCCUCCGCUUGCUUGCGGGACCCUGGGUUUCUCUCCCCGCGGCCCCAGAGGCUGGUCGCUCGCCCGGGGGCCUGUGGUCUCGAACGCUAUACUUUUUCUUGGCUUGUCCAUCUGGACGAGGAUCUGUCGACCACACCGGCCUUUCAGCUGCCGAAUUUAUGCCCCUCGGUGAUGUGCUGAAGGAGAGACAGGACCAGACUCUGUGGAGACCCUUCAACAGGUUUUCCACAUCGUGCGAUUUUCCGAAAAAAUGUACUAUUUGAAGGGGAAGAGGGGCAAACUGAGUUUUUCUCUCCUGGUGGUAAAGUAUCUGGAGGCUGGUCUGCAUUCCCAGGAAGGACGCUCUCCCUAACGUCACGCAGACUUGGUUUCGACAGAACAUUUCCCAAAACGCUGGCUAGAGGCAUUCUCCAGAGGUCAGAGUGCCACGGGGCCACCUGCCCUGGUGCGUCCUCAGUGGGUCACGCCCCAGGCCCACGCCUGGGGCCGCAGAGCCUCUCCAGUGGCAGGAGGGAUCACCGACGGGAGCUCUGGGGGUGCGGGCAAGAGCGCCAGAUGCUGGUCUCAGAAAAGAAGAAACCGAUCGAGGCUGAUGGCGCGAUCUCUCUUCGGCUCGGGGAGCCCACGCGGAGCACAAGUCCACGUGGAGAGCCAGCUCGCUGGGGAGACACGCGCACCCGAUGCCACGUCGCAAAGCAGCCCGCUGCGGUGGCCACAGCUCUGCAGGUCAGACCCACGCGCGCCUCCACGCCGUGCACCCGCGGGGACUGCGGCCCCGGCCCCCGGCUCCUCGGCUGCAGGGCGUGGCAGUCAGCGCUUACCCAGCGGGGCGCUGUGGGAAGCCAACGGUGCGGCGGCAUUCGCCACAGACAGAACACAGAAAAGAACCCCCGGCAACAAAUCUAAGACGAGCCAACAGCCCGCUAGGAAAACAAAGUUGUGAGCAGAUGUUCACAGGAAAGAACACGGCGGAUGAGACGAAUGAAAAGACCCUCACCGUCAAGCUCUACAAAGAGUCGGGGAAAUUCACGCUCAACAGUGAAGCCUUCUUCCAAGUGACUGGGGAGAUAUUGAAAAUAUUGAUAACGUGGCGGGGGUGGGGGGAACAGAUACGCUUUCUGGAGGGCACUUGGUGAGAUUUAUUCAAAUUCAAGCUCACGUCCUCUGGGCGGGGCAUCUUCUGGGCUCUACCUGAGAAAACGUCUUCCUGGUGUGCAA